rnacentral:lncRNA from 1 species
GCGUAAGACCAGAAAGAUUGACUGGCUCCAGCAUGUGAAGGAAAUGGCUACUUGGCCUUGGCUGACAGCUAUGAAAGGGAGAGAGACAGAGAAACUAGGUACUUCAAAGUUAAAGAUAAAAGAAAAGAAAUCCAGACCCAAUGCCUCCCAGAAGAUUCAAUUUAGGUGCAUUAAUAUUUCAAGCCUCUACCAGCCCUGAAGACAGCAAAACAAACCCCUCCUCUUCUACCUUCUCAAUUUGGAGAUGAUGAAAAUGAAGACCUUUAUGAUAAUCCAGUUCCACUUAAUGAACAGUAAAGAUAUUUUCUCUUCCUCAUGAUUUUCUUAAUGACAUUUUCUUUUCUCUGGCUUACUUUGGUGUAAGAACACAGUAGACUGUACAUGUAACACAUAAAAUAUGUGUGAAUCCACUGUUUAUGUUACUGGUAAGGCUUCCAGUCAACAAAAGACUAUCAGUAUUUUAGUUUUUGGGAAGUUAAAAGUUAUAUUCAGAGCCAGGCACAGUAGCUCACACUUGUAAUCCCAGCACUUUGGGAGGCCAAGGUGGGUGGAUAACCUGAGGCCAGGAGGUCAGUACCAGCCUGGCCAACAUGGUGAAUCCCUGUCUCUACUAAAAAUACAAAGUUAGCCAGGUGUGGUGGCAUGCACCUGUAAUCCCAGCUACUUGGGAGGCUGAGGCAGGAGAAUCGCAUGAACCCGGGAGGUGGAUGUUGCAGUGAGCUGAGAUUGUGCCACUGUACUCCAGCCUGGGCAACAGUAAGACUCAGUCUCAAAAAAAG